AUUGAACGCUGGCGGCAGGCUUAACACAUGCAAGUCGAGCGGAGAGAGGUAGCUUGCUACUGAUCUUAGCGGCGGACGGGUGAGUAAUGCUUAGGAAUCUGCCUAUUAGUGGGGGACAACAUUUCGAAAGGAAUGCUAAUACCGCAUACGUCCUACGGGAGAAAGCAGGGGAUCUUCGGACCUUGCGCUAAUAGAUGAGCCUAAGUCGGAUUAGCUAGUUGGUGGGGUAAAGGCCUACCAAGGCGACGAUCUGUAGCGGGUCUGAGAGGAUGAUCCGCCACACUGGAACUGAGACACGGCCCAGACUCCUACGGGAGGCAGCAGUGGGGAAUAUUGGACAAUGGGCGGAAGCCUGAUCCAGCCAUGCCGCGUGCGUGAAGAAGGCCUUAUGGUUGUAAAGCACUUUAAGCGAGGAGGAGGCUACUUUAGUUAAUACCUAGAGAUAGUGGACGUUACUCGCAGAAUAAGCACCGGCUAACUCUGUGCCAGCCGCCGCCGUAA
rnacentral:rRNA from 1 species